rnacentral:rRNA from 1 species
CCUACGGGAGGCAGCAGUAGGGAAUCUUCCACAAUGGGCGAAAGCCUGAUGGAGCAACGCCGCGUGGGUGAAGAAGGUCUUCGGAUCGUAAAACCCUGUUGUUAGAGGAGAAAGUGCGUGAGAGUAACUGUUCACGUGUCGACGGUAUCUAACCAGAAAGCCACGGCUAACUACGUGCCAGCAGCCGCGGUAAAACGUAGGGGGCAAGCGUUAUCCGGAUUUAUUGGGCGUAAAGGGAACGCAGGCGGUCUUGUAAGUCUGAUGUGAAAGCCUUGGGCUUAACCGGAGUAGUGCAUUGGAAACUGGGAGACUUGAGUGCAGAAGAGGAGAGUGGAACUCCAGGGGUAGCGGUGAAAUGCGUAGAUAUAGGGAAGAACACCAGGGGCGAAAGCGGCUUGCUGGUCUGUAACUGACGCUGAGGUUCGAAAGCGUGGGUAGCAAACAGGAUUAGAUACCCGAGUAGUC